rnacentral:misc_RNA from 1 species
GGGGAUACUUGAGGUGAGAAUUCUGUAUUUUUUGAAGCUUUUUAGUUCAGGAAACUGUUUUGAUUUCUAACGCUUCUAGCCAAUUGUAAUCCUUCUAGCUUACACAAGCCAAUUUCUAUCAGUUUUAUAGUACUGAAUUUUAUUGUUAUGAGUUCUUUGACACUUAGCUGUAAGCCAUAGUGUUUUCCCUCUUAAAUGAUUUCUGGGUGUCAACGAGUUGUUUAUGAUCUGCGGAUAUUUGUGUUUUUGUAGAAUUGAGUGAAAGCAUAUCAAACUAGAUUUUAUAGCUAUACUUUAGGCCUUCCCAUUGCUUCUUUACAAUGCUUUCCAGUAAAUCUGAAUCUGAUAUCACAAGUUUAGCCCCAUCAUCACCGUCAAGGUCUCCAAAACGCCCUCUAUAUUAUGUACAGAGCCCUUCAAGGGAUUCACAUGAUGGGGACAAGUCCUCUUCAAUGCAACCAAGUCCAAUGGAGUCACCUUCACACCCCUCCUUUGGUCGUCACUCGAGGAAUUCAUCGUCUAGUAGGUUUUCCGGGAUAUUCAGAUCCUUUUCAGGGAGGAAAGGUAGCAGGAAAAGGAAUGAUAAAGGAUGGCCUGAAUGUAAUGUGAUCAUGGAAGAAGGGGAAUAUGAUGAGGAUAAGGCGUUUACUAGGCGAUUUCAGGCCUUGAUUGCUCUGUGUAGUUUUAUAGUCUUGUUUACUGUGUUUUGCUUGAUAAUAUGGGGUGCUAGCCGGCCAUUCAAAGCAGAGAUUACCGUCAAGAGCUUUUCAGUAAGUAAUUUUUAUGUUGGGGAAGGUUCAGACUUCUCUGGUGUUCCAACGAAGAUGCUUACAGUGAAUGGCUCAUUGAGAAUGAGCAUACACAAUCCUGCAACAAUAUUUGGCAUUCAUGUUAGCUCCACACCAAUCAAUCUCAUAUACUCAGAAAUCCC